rnacentral:rRNA from 1 species
GACAAACGCUGGCGGCGUACCUAAGACAUGCAAGUCGAACGGGUGCGGCGCCCUUCGGGCGCCGGACGAGUGGCGGACGGGUGAGUAACGCGUAGGAACCUAUCGCACAGUGGGGGAGUACCACGGGGAAACCGGGUAGUUAAUACCGCAUGGGGUCGAGCGAUGACCAAAGACAGCAAUGCGCUGUGUGCGGGGCCGUGCGUCCGAUUAGCUAGUUGGUGGGGGUAAGGGGCCGUACCAAGGCGACGAUCGGAGCUGGUCUGAGAGGAUGGUCAGCCACACUGGGACUGAGACACGGCCC